rnacentral:snRNA from 1 species
GUGCUCGCUUAGGCAGCACAUAUACUAAAAUUGGAAUGAUAGAGAAGGUCAGCUCCUGCACAAGGAUGAUAUGCAAAUUUGUGAAGCAUUAAAUAGCUUU